rnacentral:rRNA from 1 species
GACGUAGGGGGCCAGCGUUGUUCGGAAUUACUGGGUGUAAAGGGUUCGUAGGCGGUGCGGCAAGUUGGGAGUGAAAUCUCUGGGCUUAACCCAGAGGCUGCUUCCAAAACUGCUGUGCUUGAGUUUGGGAGAGGGAUGCGGAAUUCCAGGUGUAGCGGUGAAAUGCGUAGAGAUGCGGAGGAACACCGAUGGCGAAGGCAGCCCCCUGGGCUAACACUGACGCUCAGGCACGAAAGCGUGGGGAGCAAACAGG